UAUAAAUGAGAAAAAUAAAUAAUUAAAUAACAUAAUAAAUAUUUUUUUGAUUUUUUAAAUAUAAAAUAAAAAUAAUAAUAAUAAUAAUUAAGAAAGACUAAAUAAAAAAAUAAAAAUAAAAACAUUAAAAAAAAAGGAAGAAAUAGUAAAAAUAAUGAAAAAAAGGGGGUCCAAGGGUGUUAAACCCAGGACCCCAAGGUAACUAAACAAACACACAACCACUGCACCAA
rnacentral:lncRNA from 1 species